CUAGAAUUUAAGCUUUAUGUUUCCAUAGUAGAGGUAAGGAAUGGGGUAUGGACAGAGUUCUAUGGCCCUCUGGUAACAGCCACUGUUCCCUCCCUCAGACUUCUACCACAAGGCAUGGGUUGAGAACUGCCUCCAAUCCUUUUGUGCAAGUGCCUGGUAAGGUACCUAGAGAAGAGCCGCGUAAACUAUCCUGAUACCUGUGGUUCCAAGGAGCUACAUAGUUUCUCACCAGCCCAUACUCAGUCUCUACCAAUUCCUUAACAAUUCGUGAUGAAAUAUUCCUACUUCUGUUUGGUUGCAUCUGUCUCAGAUAGUAUGCUGUGGAGAUGGAAAAAAAACAAAAAACCAAAAACCAGGAGACCUUCUAUGCAAAUUUGCCUCCAAAGGCGACAGAAUUCCAUCCGCAGUGAUUUCAGGGGAAAGUUCCUCCUACAAGCUGGCUGUUCACAGGAAGUCUGUGUUGUCCAUGGGCUGAAGGAUGUGAUAACAGAGAGCGAUGGGUCACUCCCCAAUUACUGUUCAGAUGCACACUCCGUGGUCUAG
rnacentral:lncRNA from 1 species